CUGGAUGACGAGCUGAUCAUCUGAAUCAGGUGGAGGAGGGAAACAUCGAAAACAUGCUGAGCAGGGGCCACAGGACCGGGGCCGGGUUUAGAAGGUUUAGAUGAAUAGUGUGAAGGAAACUUUUAAAGUGAGACUUUCAUUGCCCAGUGGAACCUUUGCCUGAACCAACAUGAGUGGAACCGGAGGAGCGAGGACGACCUUGUGAAGCUGAAGACUCUAAAACCAUUUGAAACACCAGGAAGCACCCAGACCUUCACCAGUGGCUCCAUCGUCCACAGAGUUUGUUCCCACAUCCAUCUGCAAACUCUCUGGGAAAAGGCUUCAGUUGUUGCAGAUGUUGUGCAGAGACCGCCUCCUUCACGUCCCUCUCCAGAGGCCUCCUCCUGCUCCUCUCCUUCUGCAGCUCGGCCUCCAGCUCGGCCGCCGCGCUCAUGAUCCGCCGCCGAUCCUCGGAAAGCGACGCCAGGCGCUGUCUAGAAACACA